GGAAGCUUCAAAUUUGUCCAUGGCUUCUUCAGCAUCACAAUCUUUACCAUCAAAAAACAACCUUAUUCAUGUAUUCUGGGACGAGGGUAUGCUGAAACAUGACACAGGAAGAGGUGUUUUCGACACAGGAAUGGACCCUGGUUUUCUUGAUGUUUUAGAAAAACACCCAGAAAAUUCAGACAGGGUUAAAAACAUGUUGUCUAUUCUCAAAAGGGGUCCUAUUUCACCUUUCAU
rnacentral:misc_RNA from 1 species